rnacentral:rRNA from 1 species
UACGUAGGUGGCAAGCGUUGUCCGGAAUUAUUGGGCGUAAAGCGCGCGCAGGUGGUUUCUUAAGUCUGAUGUGAAAGCCCACGGCUCAACCGUGGAGGGUCAUUGGAAACUGGGGAACUUGAGUGCAGAAGAGGAAAGUGGAAUUCCAAGUGUAGCGGUGAAAUGCGUAGAGAUUUGGAGGAACACCAGUGGCGAAGGCGACUUUCUGGUCUGCGACUGACGCUGUGGCGCGAAAGCUAGGGGAGCGAACGGG